rnacentral:hammerhead_ribozyme from 1 species
AUCCAACUGACGAGUCCCAAAUAGGACGAAAUGCGCUUUGACUUGGAU